rnacentral:rRNA from 1 species
AACGCUGGCGGCGUGCUUAACACAUGCAAGUCGAACGGAGUUGAUUCUUCGGAAUUAACUUAGUGGCGAACGGGUGAGUAACGCGUGAGGAACCUGCCUCUCAGUGGGGGACAACAGUUGGAAACGACUGCUAAUACCGCAUAAUGUCAUGAACCGGCAUCGGUUUAUGACCAAAGAUUUAUUGCUGAGAGAUGGCCUCGCGUCUGAUUAGCUAGUUGGUGGGGUAACGGCCCACCAAGGCGACGAUCAGUAGCCGGACUGAGAGGGUGAACGGCCACAUUGGGACUGAGACACGGCCCAAACUCCUACGGGAGGCAGCAGUGGGGAAUAUUGCACAAUGGGGGAAACCCUGAUGCAGCGACGCCGCGUGAGUGAAGAAGUAUUUCGGUAUGUAAAGCUCUAUCAGCAGGGAAGAAAAUGACGGUACCUGACUAAGAAGCCCCGGCUAACUACGUG